AGUGAACGCUGGCGGUAGGCCUAACACAUGCAAGUCGAACGGCAGCACAGUAAGAGCUUGCUCUUACGGGUGGCGAGUGGCGGACGGGUGAGGAAUACAUCGGAAUCUACUUUUUCGUGGGGGAUAACGUAGGGAAACUUACGCUAAUACCGCAUACGACCUACGGGUGAAAGCAGGGGAACUUCGGACCUUGCGCGAUUGAAUGAGCCGAUGUCGGAUUAGCUAGUUGGCGGGGUAAAGGCCCACCAAGGCGACGAUCCGUAGCUGGUCUGAGAGGAUGAUCAGCCACACUGGAACGGAGACACGGUCCAGACUCCUACGGGAGGCAGCAGUGGGGAAUAUUGGACAAUGGGCGCAAGCCUGAUCCAGCCAUACCGCGUGGGUGAAGAAGGCCUUCGGGUUGUAAAGCCCUUUUGUUGGGAAAGAAAAGCAGCAGGUUGAUACCCCGCUGUUCUGACGGUACCCAAAGAAUAAGCACCGGCUAACUUCGUG
rnacentral:rRNA from 1 species